rnacentral:rRNA from 1 species
GACGAACGCUGGCGGCGUGCUUAACACAUGCAAGUCGAACGAUGAAGCCCUUCGGGGUGGAUUAGUGGCGAACGGGUGAGUAACACGUGAGUAACCUGCCCCUUUCUCUGGGAUAACUGUGGGAAACUGCAGCUAAUACCGGAUAUUCACUGUCCCUCGCAUGGGGGGUGGUGGAAAGUUUUUUCGGUGGGGGAUGGGCUCGCGGCCUAUCAGCUUGUUGGUGGGGUAGUGGCCUACCAAGGCUUUGACGGGUAGCCGGCCUGAGAGGGCGACCGGCCACACUGGGACUGAGAUACGGCCCAGACUCCUACGGGAGGCAGCAGUGGGGAAUAUUGCACAAUGGGCGCAAGCCUGAUGCAGCAACGCCGCGUGCGGGAUGAAGGCCUUCGGGUUGUAAACCGCUUUCACCCAUGACGAAUGUAGACGGUAGUGGGAGAAGAAGCACCGGCUAACUACGUG